rnacentral:misc_RNA from 1 species
GAUGAAGAACGUAGCGAAAUGCGAUAAGUAGUGUGAAUUGCAGAAUUCAGUGAAUCAUCGAAUCUUUGAACGCACAUUGCGCCCUUUGGUAUUCCAAAGGGCAUGCCUGUUCGAGCGUCAUUUGUACCCUCAAGCUUUGCUUGGUGUUGGGCGUCUUGUCUCUAGCUUUGCUGGAGACUCGCCUUAAAGUAAUUGGCAGCCGGCCUACUGGUUUCGGAGCGCAGUACAAGUCGCACUCUCUAUCAGCAAAGGUCUAGCAUCCAUUAAGCCUUUUUUUCAACUUUUGACCUCGGAUCAGGUAGGGAUACCCGCUGAACUUAAGCAUAUCAAUAAGCGGAGGA